rnacentral:rRNA from 1 species
UACGAAGGGGGCUAGCGUUGUUCGGAUUUACUGGGCGUAAAGCGCACGUAGGCGGAUCGUUAAGUCGGGGGUGAAAUCCUGGAGCUCAACUCCAGAACUGCCUUCGAUACUGGCGAUCUUGAGUCCGGAAGAGGUGAGUGGAACUCCUAGUGUAGAGGUGGAAUUCGUAGAUAUUAGGAAGAACACCAGUGGCGAAGGCGGCUCACUGGUCCGGUACUGACGCUGAGGUGCGAAAGCGUGGGGAGCGAACGGG